UAGAUUCUUCUACCAAUUUGGAGUGGGGGCCGGGGGAUUCAGAAGCAGUACUUGGGAGUGUCUUUCCAUCUAGAAGUACAUUGGUAGGAAGAAGGCUAAGAUUCAGGUCUGGAACAAGAAGCAGGUUGGGAAUAUACCUCUCUGAGAGGAGCCAGUGCAGAGCAUCUUCAAAGUCACACCACUUUCACCCAGGCUCUGCCUGCCUCUGCCUUCAAGUCCAGGGAAUAAUGCCCCAAAGGAAGCAUAGAUAGAAAAUACAUUGAAAAUAAAGUCAGUGUGGGUGACUUGGCCUUGGGUCACAAUCUGUUUGCUUCCAACUUGGCCUAUGAUCCCCUCACACCACCUUCAUCAGUUGGACGGCAGCGCCAUCUUAACCCAGAUUUCUUAAUGACGUAUUUCCUGUUCUGAUCCCACGUGAAGAAAUGACGGUUAUCCUGGAUUGCUUUGCAAGGAGCCAGAAAUGCUACCGUCUGACCACAGAGUUCACUAUUGGGACAGCACAAAUAAAGCCCGGUGCUGGGACAUGGUUGACUCGCAGAGGGUGUUGUUUAUGAGAGCGCUGUAAGCAGUGAUCAGAGGAUGACAGGAGAGAGUUAUAAAAAGAACUAUGUGUAGUCAUUUGGGGUGGAGAGAUGAGAAAAAUCUAACUGUGGAGCCCCUACAGAACAUAACUCAUCUUCAAAUACACGAAGAUGCUUCAACAAGUUGAAGCUUUAAAGUCAAAGGAAAACCAAACACAGACUGAUACAGCCCUGAGGAGGAAGACGGGAAGACUUGUGCUUUUUUAUUCUGUGCCUGGAAUGUUUCACAUGAGCCAGAGACCAUCAUGUAUAUCCUUUAUGGACCCUGUCAAGCCCCCUGCAUAGAAGAAGUGCUCAAGAAUUCAAUUUCUACUUGAAACAGUGCUGCUGUAAGUGCAAUAACUAUGUCUUGCCCCCAUGUUACACACAUUCAAGUAUCCACCAACAAAAUGC
rnacentral:lncRNA from 1 species